rnacentral:lncRNA from 1 species
CAGAGAGGGACAUGCGCAGUGAGUGCCUCCCGUCUCGUCUACCCGAACCCCCCUCCCCCCCAAGCAGAGAGACCCCAGCAGCAGCAGCAGCUGAUGAUGAAGAGAGAGGCAGUGGCAGAGGGGGGGCACCUUUUAUUUCUAUUUUUAAAGGGACAGGACACUAAUUCUAUCCCACUUCAACCUUGAAUUGAGGGGGGUGGGGGGAAGGCGGCUGAGUUCCUUCCCCCACCCUCCAGCCCUGAGCCCUGAGAGGGGGAUUGAGCCUGAGAGAGGAGGAGAAGGAGUUUCUUCUUCUUCGAAAACCCCCAUCCACGACUCCUACCCCCUCACCCCUCCAACUCGCCUCCCUCCCGAGCCCCCUCCACCCUCCUCCUCUUUGGCCGUGAGAGGAGGAGAGAAAGAAACCAAAAGCCUCUUAGCAACACAGACCCUUUGCUGCUGCUGCUGCUGCUGUUGCUGCUGCUACUGCUGCUGCUGCUGCUGCUGCUACUGCUGCUGCUUGGCCCUGGCUGGAGACAUCUCACUACACCCAGGAGCAGCCACUUCCCCAGCUCUCCUCCUCCUCCUUCGCCUCCUCCUCCUCCACUCCCCCCCUUUAUUACCCUUUGUGUCAUCCUCCACAGCUCCAGGGAAGGCACUCAAAAGUGGGGGGCAGGAAAGACAAUUAUCAACUUUCCAGUUUUCUAUGGAUAUGAAGAUAUACUCCUAGUCAUCAGUGGGACCCCCAUGAAGUCAGCCAGAAAGCCUAUAUCCAACUUAUGUACCUUUGCAAACUUGUCUGGAUUUUGACUGUAUGUGCA